UACAGAGGGUGCAAGCGUUGUUCGGAAUUAUUGGGCGUAAAGCGCGUGUAGGCGGCGUGGCAAGUCGGGUGUGAAAGCCCUCAGCUCAACUGAGGAAGUGCGCCCGAAACUGCUGUGCUUGAGUGCCGGAGAGGGUGGCGGAAUUCCCCCAAGUAGAGGUGAAAUUCGUAGAUAUGGGGAGGAACACCGGUGGGCGAAGGCGGCCACCUGGACGGGUAA
rnacentral:rRNA from 1 species